GAGUCCGCGAGUCGGUGCGUGCCAGUCCGUGCGUGUGCUUUUACCUAAUAAUAUUUCCACGGCCGGAGAGAGUUUCCACUCUCUCUCUCUUUCUCUCUUUCUCUCCUGUCUUCUCUUUCGUCCGAGAUAUACGCAUCUCGCACCCUCUCUCUUCGCGUCCGUUUCUACUGUAUAUGUCUCUCUGUUUUUUUCUCUCUCUCUCUCUCUCUCGUAGGGUUAGGCGUCCUCGCGUAGAGGCUUUUCGCGUCGCGACCACCCUCCACCGCCCCGAACCCGACGGGGAUUUCACGAAAGCGAGAGAGGAGAGGAAUCACACGCUGCAGAGCAGCACGUGUGCUGCACUCGCGCGGAUCGGCACAAGCGCGGUUGGUUCUAAUCAUAUCGUUCUUUUCUUCGCACCGCGAACGCGAAGUUGAUUCUCGCCCUCGCGAGAGACUGAACCGAGUUGCCAAUAUCCAAGAUAAAAUCCGGGAGGUUAUCGUAACGCGCGCGACCAGCCGCGAAAGUGAGAGGGGUGUUUCGAAGCGAAACGAUUUCGAAGGAGAUAGAUCGAGCCCCGCGAAAGUCGAAUCCGUGUGUUCGAUCCGGCGCGAGAGUGACAUAACCACAACUCGCGGAUCGCGCUCGGGAGACUGUGCUUGGUAUAUGCGGGGUGCGACGAAAAACGAGACCGGCCAAAGGAUUCGCAGUGGUGCUUUUGCCGAACAGGGACAUCGGAGGGAGGACGGACAGCGUCGGCCGUCGGUAGCUCUUGUGAACGGAAGUGUUCAAAGGCCCGAAGAUUCUGCCUUCGCAGCAGCUGGGCGCUGCGGUCGCUCCAUGGCCGGGCGCCACCGGCCUCAUAGCCUCCGUCACUGCUGACGACAUGGCACACAAAGGACACAGCGGGGUGAACCAGCUGGGUGGUGUCUUCGUCGGCGGCCGGCCACUUCCGGACUCGACGCGGCAAAAGAUCGUCGAGCUCGCACAUUCGGGCGCGCGACCAUGCGAUAUCUCCAGGAUACUGCAGGUCAGCAACGGCUGCGUCUCGAAGAUCCUCGGCAGUAGGUACUAUGAGACCGGAUCUAUAAGGCCCAGGGCCAUUGGCGGCAGUAAACCGCGCGUCGCAACAGCGGAGGUUGUUAACAAGAUCUCGCUCUACAAAAGCGAGUGCCCAUCGAUCUUUGCGUGGGAGAUUCGAGAUCGCUUGCUGCAGGAGGGCGUAUGUACGAACGACAACAUUCCGAGCGUGUCCUCGAUCAACAGGGUACUGAGAAAUCUGGCCGCGCAAAAGGAGCAGAGGCAGCAGCAGCAACAACAACAAGGGGUGGGCGCCGUGGGGGUUGGCGUCGGUGCCGGCAGUCCAGCGGAAAGCGUUUACGAUAAACUCAGGCUAUUAAAUGGACAGACCACCGGCUGGCCGCGUCCCAAUCCCUGGUAUCCGUCGAGUGCGGGAAGUCCCUUUUCAUCGAUACAAUCUAGUUUGAGUCCGAGCCAUUGUUCAUCCCUGCCACCAGAUCCAGCGGACAUAUUGCACGCGAAGAAAGUAACCGAGCUCGAGGGUGGCGCGCAUUCGGACGAGACGAACAGCGGGGGUGACAACAGCAACGCCGGCAGCGUGUCGGGCGGCGCCGAUGACGAUCAGGCGCGUUUACGUCUGAAGAGGAAGCUGCAGAGGAAUCGUACGAGCUUCAGCAACGAGCAAAUCGACGCCCUCGAGAAAGAGUUCGAGAGGACGCACUAUCCGGACGUGUUCGCCAGAGAGAGACUCGCCGGCAAGAUCGGCCUACCGGAGGCACGAAUACAGGUCUGGUUUUCGAAUCGGCGGGCCAAGUGGCGGCGCGAGGAGAAAUUACGCACGCAACGGAGGGAUAAUCCGCCAUCGCAGCAGCAGCAACAGCAGCAGCAACAGCAACAUACUGCCGGUGUUAGUCUAGUGGGUGCUGGCCACCCGACACCGCCGCCACCCUCGGGGAUACUCGGGGGCCAGCCACCACCGCAGGCACCACCCUCGCCCCCCAGAAUACACCAUGGAUUUGCGCCCACCGCUGUAUAUCCUGGAAUACCCAGCAUGCCCGACUCAUACAGCCCAAUGACGUCAAUGCCGAGCUUCACGAUGUCGGGCGCCAGCCAGCAGAACCAGCACACGACGAGCAGCAUGUCCUCGCUGUCCACCGGGGGUGGUAUGAGUCCGAUGGGCAUGACCGUGGGUAUGACUGUCGGACCGAGUCCCGGCGCGUGCCUCCAGCAACGGGACAACGGCUACUCGUGCGGGGUCGCGAGACCGCCGAGUUACGAACCCCUUCAUCUAGGCUACGGCGCUAGGCCCACUUGCAGCCCCACGCAGCCCUAUCAUGCGGCGGGUCUCAAUCAGUACAAUCAGAACGCCAGCUCGACCGGUGAGUGUCUACCGCACUCACUGCAUUCGCUGCUUGCACUCUAGCCGAUGGACUACUACUACGGCUACCAUGGAUAACACGCUAUCGAGCCCGCCGGUCUAAUAUCACCUGGCGUGAGUGUGCCGAUCGCGGUACCAGGUCAACCGGCGCCCGAUAUGGCGGCACAAUAUUGGUCACCGAGGCUGCAGUGACCGUGGUGGUCGUCGACGUCGACCUCGUCUCCGUAGACUUGAGCUUCUUCGUCUAGUUUACGUUACCGAAAAAGAACGACGCACACGGUUAUACGUGAUCGUGGUGCCAAGUCUCCGCACUUUAUGAUGUUGAUUGUUUGUGCGUGCGACUCUGUCUCGUAGCAAAAAUCAAAAUGAGCUAUGACACCCGUGCGUUUCGUUUAAGUCAAAGCUCUGCAUGGAAACGAGUUUGAUUUGUCCGUGUUCGCGUCCACUACUUCCGUUUCUGUAAGGCAAUGAAUGCGUCAGGAACAUCAUUUCACACACAGAAAUUUUUCCCGAAGAAACGAUAUUGUUCGUGAAUUCGCUGAUAUUUACCUGUGUGAAAAAAUCAUCUGAGACUCAUAAAAGAAUCCGUUCUAUCUAUUCGACUACAUUUUUAACCAAAUGAUUGAAUCUGCUUAUGUAUUAAUGAUAAAUCAUAAUUGUGUAAUUAUAAUACAAAUAUGCCGAAUUGGAUUACAAUGGGCGGAUUAAUCAAUUUCUGUGUAUGAUGAUGUUGAAUCUUGUUCAUCGUUAAAAUUCCUAAUAUCCUGUAUUGAAAAUUAAUAUUUACACUUAUGAUUAACAUCUUCCCGAUCAAAUCCCUUUAUUAUUUAUAGACAAUUAAUGCUGCUUUUUCGCACUUUUACUAACAAUGUUGAUAUCAUAACGUACGUAUGUAAAGAGACAUUUCUCUUCUUUAUUUCGAGACGCUUCAUCAAAAUCCGAUAAUUCAUAAGAAUACAUGAUCUUUGUAAUACGUAUGUCAAUCAGCUCGUGGUAAUUUUUUUAUAAGAUGUAUCAUAUAUAGUAUCAAAAUGAUCGGCAAGGUGUUAUAUGGAAAAUCUUCCAAAAUAUCACAUUCACGUAUAUGCACACUUUUAUAAUUACUCAGCUUCAUUUCGUAUACAAUUAUACUUCCAAUAUCUUUGAAAUAGAAUCGGGCAAGGUGAGACGCGGUGAAAAAAAAAAUGAAUCAUCGGCAAUGUGCAACUCGUGUAAAAAUAAUUAGCGUGAAAAUCGGAGAGGGAAAAGAGAGAAAAUCGAUCUCGAUAAUUCUCGCAGUUUUUAUUCGCAAAGUUUCGUAGAUGUAAUUCUUGUAGGCGAGAGAAAGGGAAACAAAAAUAGUUUCUAAGUCGGUAUUAUGUUAUUAUUUAUACUCGUGUAAAACAGAGCGGAGAGAGUCAGGAGAUAAUAAACGUGAGUUUGUUGUGUGUACAUCGUAAGAAUAUCUCGACCCAGUCAUUUAUAUAUAAAUAUAUACAUAGUUGACUCUAUAAUUCUCUAAAUACACUUGAUAAAAUCAAUUCGUAAUUUAUAUUCGGUGCAAGGUUCGAGAGAAAGGGAGAGAGAGAGAAAGAGAAAGAAAGAGAGAGAGACAAAUAGAAAGGACCGAAAAUGCCGAUUGUGAUUUCCCUUAGGCCAGAUAUGUUAAGCGUAUGAUUAUGCAUUCUAAAUAAAUAGUGUGUACAUUUAAUCGAGAGUUCUCUCAAUGCUUGUUUUCUAAUCGGAAUCCGUGAGAUCCUAGCGUAUACAUUCGUCCUUGCUAUAUCAAAUAUUAAUUGCAAAGAGUAAAGCAAUCAUGUAUCUAAUACUGGUUGAUCAAGAUAAAUAACAAUCGUAAAAUUUCCUAUUAGAAAUCAAGCGCAACUUCUUCCCGAACGUGUUCAUCUCGAUCCGAUAAUUCAUAUGUAUCUCGAUGCCGUUUCGUUAAUCCUUUUAGCAUAAUCGAUAAUCAAGAUAUCAACGAUCCCUCCUGUAUUAUCGUCCAAAUCGAAACAAUUGAAUCAAUUAUAACAAAAUAAAGGAAAGCGGAAUGUGUGCAAGCAGAAAGAGAUCAUCGUUUUACCUUGCAAAUGUAACAAUUGUAUAUUUAUUUCGACUUAAUAAUUAAUUUACAUUCGA